AUUGAACGCUGGCGGCAGGCCUAACACAUGCAAGUCGAACGAGUGGCGGACGGGUGUGAUAUGUCUGGGAAACUGCCUGAUGGGGGGGGAUAACUAGUGGAAAAGGUAGCUAAUACCGCAUAACAUCGGAUUGCCCUAGAUGGGAUUAGCUAGUAGGUGGGGUAAAGGCUCAUCUAGGCGACGAUCCCUAGCUGGUCUGAGAGGAUGACCGGCCACACUGGAACUGAGACACGGUCCAGACUCCUACGGGAGGCAGCAGUGGGGAAUAUUGCACAAUGGGCGCAAGCCUGAUGCAGCCAUGCCGCGUGUAUGAAGAAGGCCUUCGGGUUGUAAAGUACUUUCAGCGGGGAGGCGUUACCCGCAGAAGAAGCACCGGCUAACUCCGUGCCAGCAGCCGCGGUAAUAC
rnacentral:rRNA from 1 species